AUGAGCUGUAGGGUCCCUUCCUACCCAAACCAUUCCAGGAUUCCACGGCCACCCCUGGCACAGAGCAGGAAGCCUUGGCUGGCCCCAGUAAGGUCUGGCUCCAGCAAAUCCAACCCCUGUCCUUCGGCAUCCUUCGGCAUCCCAGUGCCACUACAGCUGCUGAAAUGUGCCAUGAAACCAGGGACCUCCAAGGUGAGCACGUCCUGGGAGCCCAGAGCAGCCCCAGGCAGGCAGAGGCAGGGAUUCAGCAUUGCUUUGGGAGCUCUGAGCACAGGAGCACAGGAGCAGCACCGACGCUGCCCUUGCUUGGUGUUUACUGCAGUCCUGUGCCCUUCCAGGACUGAUUCUGUCGGAUGAGCAUGACCAGGCCACCCUCUCUUUAGUGUCUGGGCAGGAGCACGGAUGUCACCCUGCAGCACUGAAGGUGCCCACCCCUGCUCAGAGCAGGGAAGCUGCUCCUGGUUGGGGCUGUCAGUUUUCCCUGUGGAUCUGCUGCCCACGGCUCCUUCCCAGUGUGGGAGGAGAGGGAAAUGGGGUGAAGGCACGCCCAGCCCAGCUCAGGACGGAGCUGCUGUGAGCUGGGGAUGCUUUCACCCCGUUUCACUCCCUCCCACCCGGUCCUGGCUGAGCUGGAGCUCUGGUCACUCUGUGCUGUCACUUUGAACCCCAGUGGCUGCUGCAGCCCUGAGGAUGAGGGAUCAGCAAACCAAACCUGCAGCAAGCAGGGGCUGCCAAGCCCAGCUCUGCAGCUCCUCUCCCUCUGUGCAACGCAGCUGCUCCCAAAUCCUGGGAUUUACCACCUCUGCCAGGGCAGAGCUGCCCUGGCCAGGAAGAAAUUCCUCCUGUGCCAAACCUGAAUCUUCCCCUGGCACAGCUUCAGGCUGUGUCCUCUUGUCCUGUCAAAUUUCAUCGUGUUCUGAGCAGCUCCCAGUCCCAGCAAUCACCACAUUCCAGUGUGACUCUCCCAGGCACAGGAACCAAGCAGCAGCCCUGGUUUCCAUUCAGCUUUUGCCAUCAGUGUAAUCCCUCCCCAGCAUUCCCAGCUUCCCACUCCCUGAGCGGCCCACGCCAGCCGUGGCAAACAAGCCAGCCCUGCAAACACACACAGAAGUUUUCUUUUCUUCUUUAACCAACAACCACUGUCACUAAACCCUCUUUCUGCUUAAUGCAGCUCUGCAUCAAAACACCUCGGAGGCAAUUCAUUUAUACCAGGAGAACUUCUGAGGCUGGAAUUUUCCCUGAUGGCACUGCUGGAAGGCUACAACAGCCCAGCAGGUCAGCCAGUUGAAAGCAGUAUUUCAUCUGGCAAUUUAUUCAAAUAAAUCUUUCAAAACAUGAAAUAAGCUCUAAAGA
rnacentral:lncRNA from 1 species